UACGUAGGGGGCUAGCGUCAUACGGAAUUACUGGGCGUAAAGGGUGCGUAGGCGGUCUUUCAAGCCAGAAGUGAAAGGCUACGGCUCAACCGUAGUAAGCUUUUGGAACUGUAAGACUUGAGUGCAGGAGAGGAGAGUGGAAUUCCUAGUGUAGCGGUGAAAUGCAUAGAUAUCGGGAGGAACACCAGUGGUGAAGACGGCUUUCUGGUCUGUUGCUGACGCUGAGGAGCGAAAGCCAGGGGAGCGAACCGGAUUAGAUACCCUGGUAGU
rnacentral:rRNA from 1 species